AGACUGUUCUUUGCUCCUGUGCAUGCUGCAGACGUGGGGAAAUGUAGGGAGUAGCUAUAGUUCCCUGUGGAUUUGUUCCAGUUCUCUUCAAAAGCAGAAUGUGGUGGAGCCAGGCACUUGAGUUCCUCAGAACACUUUCCCAACAUGUGUGCACCUGUAGAGUUUGGAGACUAUAGUGGCAAUUUAUGCCCUGCAAUUUAAGGGAACCUUCAGCUAAGGUAUGUGAAUUGCAUAGAUCCACAGGAAAUUCUAUAUGUGAACAAAGUUUGAGAUCUGCCUCCAAAACUCCAGUUGCUCCUUUUUCUAUUGUCACUUCCCUUGCUGAUCUUGCCUGGACACCUCACGACAGUCCAAGGACAAGCUGCUGUCUGAGAGACCUGCAUUAUAAACGUUGCACAUCUGCACACAGCUGGAACAGCAGUGAGACACCAACGCUGCAGUACACUCACUCAGAAGUGGAUGGUCAUCCUGGGCACAACUGUGUUUUCUAGCAAGGUGUUUGGAAUCUCCUUUGAGGUGCCUGUAAUCAGGAGGUCUGUGCCACACCUGUAGUUCCUCUCUUAGUGCAGCAGCUCAUUUCCUCUCUUGGUGAGGUCAGCAUAAUCCCAUGACUGGUUGAUGGGCACCUUAAUCAGCCUUUUGUCUUAAAUUCACUAGUUCCCGGGAGACUUUGCAUGUGCUAUCUCAUGGCACAUAUAUUUCUCAUGGUUUUCAGGUGAUGGUCCCUCCAUCCACAUGUGUAGGUCCCUUGUCCCCCUUCAGGGAUGCUGGUGCAGAGGGGUUUUGUGGCAGGAGCAGCGCUGCUGCUGAGCCUUCAGCUGUUGCUGAGGGAGACAGAAUGUGUGUGGGAGAAAGGAAGAUAUGACCCUGUUGUGUAGGUGGGGAACUGGGCCACAGCAUUUUGCUGAUUUGCCUCACCCCUGGCAGGAAGCUGGCAGCAAGGCUGUGAGCUGAGUCCAGGAUGUCUGUGUCCUCCUGGCCCAGCCUUUCACUCUCAGGAACAGCUGUCUCUGCAGUUUUUGACUCCUGUUGCUCUUCUUGCUCUGCUGCAAGAUAUGCAGUUACAGCACUCCUGCUUUCCUGGCUAUACUGUCAUAAGUGGAGUCCAGUUUUUGAGGAAAACCUCAAAAUAUUUGAGACUGGGUUUCUAGGGCUUGGUUGGCACACUUACUGGGACUCAGCCUUAAGGUGUUUGUUCCUCUUAAUGAACUAGAGACAUUUCUUCUAGUCUUUAGUCCACAAAUUGUGAAUGGAAA